rnacentral:rRNA from 1 species
UGGGGAAUUUUGCACAAUGGGGGAAACCCUGAUGCAGCGACGCCGCGUGAUUUAGAAGGCCUUCGGGUUGUAAAAAUCUUUUCUAUGGGAAGAAAAUGACAGUACCAUAGGAAUAAGGACCGGCUAAUUACGUGCCAGCAGCCGCGGUAAUACGUAAGGUCCGAGCGUUGUCCGGAAUCAUUGGGCGUAAAGGGUACGUAGGCGGGUAAGCAAGUUAGAAGUGAAAUCCUAUAGCUCAACUAUAGUAAGCUUUUAAAACUGCUCAUCUUUAGGUAUGGAAGGGAAAGUGGAAUUCCUAGUGUAGCGGUGAAAUGCGCAGAUAUUAGGAGGCAUACCGGUGGCGAAGGCGACUUUCUGGCCAUAACCUGACGCUGAGGUACGAAAGCGUGGGUAGCAAACAGG